rnacentral:rRNA from 1 species
AUUGAACGCUGGCGGCGUGCCUAACACAUGCAAGUCGAGCGGUAACAGGUGUAGCAAUACAUGCUGACGAGCGGCGGACGGGUGAGCAAUAUUUGGGAAUCUGCCUAUUAGUGGGGGAUAACCCGGGGAAACUCGGGCUAAUACCGCAUACGCUCUACGGAGGAAAGCCGGGGACCGCAAGGCCUGGCGCUAGUAGAUGAGCCCAAAUCGGAUUAGCUAGUUGGUGAGGAACGGCUCACCAAGGCGACGAUCCGUAGCUGGUUUGAGAGAACGACCAGCCACACCGGAACUGAGACACGGUCCGGACUCCUACGGGAGGCAGCAGUGGGGAAUAUUGGACAAUGGGCGAAAGCCUGAUCCAGCGACGCCGCGUGGGUGAAGAGGGCCUGCGGGUUGUAAAGCCCUUUCGGUUGGGAAGAAAAGUAUUGGCCUAAUACGCUAGUACCUUGACGUAACCAACAAAGAAGCACCGGCUAACUCUGUGCCAG